UUGACACAAAUACAGUCUUUUUGCAAGGAAAGUGAAGGUGUCCCCACCUUGAGUGUUAUAUUUAAUGUGACAUAGUUUUAUAAUUCAUUGGUCCCAGAAAAUGUGUUCAAGCAGAAACAAUUUGGUCCCAGAAAAUGUGUUCAAGCAGAUACAAUCUGGUCCCAGAAAAUGUGUUCAAGCAGAAACAAUUUGGUCCCAGUAAAUGUGUUCAAG